CAGUUUGCACCAGCUGAGGCUCUGGCAUAGUAAAAGUAAAGCAAAGCAUGAGAAGCACAAGUGAAAGCUUUCCUCACAAUGCCCUUCCACUGUGCCUCAACCCUGACCAGAGGGAUCCCCUGAAGGGCUGAGGAGGUACUCAUUUUCCAUAGCCAGGCAAUAUUGUCCCUCU
rnacentral:sRNA from 1 species